rnacentral:rRNA from 1 species
UACGAAGGGGGCUAGCGUUGCUCGGAAUCACUGGGCGUAAAGGGUGCGUAGGCGGGUUCUUAAGUCAGAGGUGAAAUCCUGGAGCUCAACUCCAGAACUGCCUUUGAUACUGAGAGUCUUGAGUUCGGGAGAGGUGAGUGGAACUGCGAGUGUAGAGGUGGAAAUUCGUAGAUAUUCGCAAGAACACCAGUGGCGAAGGCGGUUGCCUGGAGCUUUGCUGACGCUGAGGCG